rnacentral:rRNA from 1 species
UACGUAGGGGGCUAGCGUUGUCCGGAUUUACUGGGCGUAAAGAGCGUGUAGGCGGCCACGCAGGUCCGUUGUGAAAACUGGAGGCUCAACCUUCAGACGUCGACGGAAACCGUAUGGCUAGAGUCCGGAAGAGGAGAGUGGAAUUCCUGGUGUAGCGGUGAAAUGCGCAGAUAUCAGGAAGAACACCAAUGGCGAAGGCAGCUCUCUGGGACGGUACUGACGCUGAGACGCGAAAGCGUGGGGGAGCAAACAGGG